rnacentral:tRNA from 7 species
UGGGGAUUGGUGUAACGGUAGCACGAGUGACUCUGACUCACUUAGUCUAGGUUCGAAUCCUAGAUCCCCAA